GCGGCGGACGGGUGAGUAACACGUGGGCAACCUGCCCUGCAGACUGGGAUAACUUCGGGAAACCGGAGCUAAUACCGGAUAACACCGAAAACCGCAUGGUUUUCGGUUGAAAGGCGGCUUUUAGCUGUCACUGCAGGAUGGGCCCGCGGCGCAUUAGCUAGUUGGUGAGGUAACGGCUCACCAAGGCGACAAUGCGUACCCGACCUGAGAGGGUGACCGGCCACACUGGGACUGAGACACGGCCCAAACUCCUACGGGAGGCAGCAGUAGGGAAUCUUCCGCAAUGGACGAAAGUCUGACGGAGCAACGCCGCGUGAGCGAAGAAGGUCUUCGGAUCGUAAAGCUCUGUUGUCAGGGAAGAACAAGUGCCGUUCGAACAGGGCGGUACCUUGACGGUACCUGACGAGGAAGCCACGGCUAACUACGUGCCAGCAGCCGCGGUAAUAC
rnacentral:rRNA from 1 species